CCAGACUCCUACGGGAGGCAGCAGUGGGGAAUAUUGGACAAUGGACCAAGAGUCUGAUCCAGCAAUUCUGUGUGCACGAUGAAGUUUUUCGGAAUGUAAAGUGCUUUCAGUUGGGAAGAAAGAAAUGACGGUACCAACAGAAGAAGUGACGGCUAAAUACGUGCCAGCAGCCGCGGUAAUACGUAUGUCACGAGCGUUAUCCGGAUUUAUUGGGCGUAAAGCGCGUCUAGGUGGUUAUGUAAGUCUGAUGUGAAAAUGCAGGGCUCAACUCUGUAUUGCGUUGGAAACUGUAUAACUAGAGUACUGGAGAGGUAAGCGGAACUACAAGUGUAGAGGUGAAAUUCGUAGAUAUUUGUAGGAAUGCCGAUGGGGAAGCCAGCUUACUGGACAGAUACUGACGCUAAAGCGCGAAAGCGUGGGUAGCAAACAGGAUUAGAUACCCUGGUAGUCCACGCUGUAAACGAUGAUUACUAGGUGUUGGGGGUCGAACCUCAGCGCCCAAGCAAACGCGAUAAGUAAUCCGCCUGGGGAGUACGUACGCAAGUAUGAAACUCAAAGGAAUUGACGGGGGCCCGCACAAG
rnacentral:rRNA from 1 species